rnacentral:rRNA from 1 species
CAAAAGCGUAUAUUAAAGUUGUUGCAGUUAAAAAGCUCGUAGUUGAACCUUGGGCUUGGCUGGCCGGUCCAUCUUUUUUGAUGCGUACUGGACCCAGCCGAGCCUUUCCUUCUGGCUAGCCUUUUGGCGAACCAGGACUUUUACUUUGAAAAAAUUAGAGUGUUCAAAGCAGGCCUUUGCUCGAAUAUAUUAGCAUGGGAUAAUAGAAUAGGACGUUAUGGUUCUAUUUUGUUGGUUUCUAGGACCAUCGUAAUGAUUAAUAGGGACGGUCGGGGGUAUCAGUAUUCAGUUGUCAGAGGUGAAAUUCUUGGAUUUACUGAAGACUAACUACUGCGAAAGCAUUUACCAAGGACGUUUUCAUUAA